UACAGAGGGUGCGAGCGUUAAUCGGAAUUACUGGGCGUAAAGCGUGCGUAGACGGUAGCGUAAGUCAGAUGUGAAAGCCCCGGGCUCAACCUGGGAACUGCAUUUGAGACUGCUCUGCUCGGGUGCGGAAGAGGGAAGCGGAAUUUCCGGUGUAGCGGUGAAAUGCGUAGAUAUCGGAAGGAACGCCAGUGGCGAAAGCGGCUUCCUGGUCCGACACCGACGUUCAGGCACGAAAGCGUGGGGAGCAAACAGG
rnacentral:rRNA from 1 species